ACCGUGAGGGAAUGGUGAAAAGUACCCCGGGAGGGGAGUGAAAUAGUACCUGAAACCGUGUGCCUGUAAGCCGUCAGAGCCUUGUGGGGUGAUGGCGUGCCUUUUGAAGAAUGAGCCUGCGAGUUAGUGAUACGUGGCGUGCUUAACCCGUGUGGGGUAUGCGUAGCGAAAGCGAGUCUGAAAUAUGGCGUUUGUCGCGUGUUCUAGACCCGAAGCGGGGUGAUCUACCCAUGGUCAGGUUGAAGCAGAGGUAAGACUGUGUGGAGGACCGAACCCACCAGGGUUGAAAACCUGGGGGAUGAACUGUGGGUAGGGGUGAAAGGCCAAUCAAACUCCGUGAUAGCUGGUUCUCCCCGAAAUGCAUUUAGGUGCAGCGUUGCGUGGUCCCUGGUGGAGGUAGAGCUACUGGAUGGCCGAUGGGCCCUGUGGGUUACUGACGUCAGCCAAACUCCGAAUGCCAUUAGGUGUAGCGUGGCAGUGAGACUGCGGGGGAUAAGCUUCGUAGUCGAGAGGGAAACAGCCCAGAUCAUCAGCUAAGGCCCCUAAGCGUGCGCUAAGUGGGAAAGGAUGUGGAGUCGCGGUGACAACCAGGAGGUUGGCUUAGAAGCAGCCAUCCUUGAAAGAGUGCGUAAUAGCUCACUGGUCAAGUGGUUCUGCGCCGACAAUGUAGCGGGGCUCAAGCGUACCGCCGAAGCUGUGGCAGCAACACGCGAUUCUGGCGCCAGGAACUGGAGUGCUGGUGUGUUGUUGGGUAGGGGAGCGUCCUGCAUGAGGUGAAGCCUGGAGGUGACUUCUGGUGGAUUGUGUGGGAGUGAGAAUGCAGGCAUGAGUAACGAUUCUGCGGUGGGAAUCCGCAGCGCCGAUUGACUAAGGGUUCCAGGGCUAGGUUUAUCCGCCCUGGGUUAGUCGGGUCCUAAGGCGAGGCCGACAGGCGUAGUCGAUGGACAACCAGUUGAUAUUCUGGUACCGCGUUGUGACCGCCCGUGCUGAUGUCACUGUGCUAACCAAUUCGCCUGCGCUGCUUUCAGGCUUUCGGGUUUGAGAGUGUGUGUGGGUCUUGGGGUCCUGGUGAUAGUAGGCAAGCGUGUUAACAGGGGUGACGCAGACAGGUAGCUGCAGUGCGCCGAUGGUUGUGCGUAUUUAAGGUUGUGGCCCGCCGCCUAGGUAAAUCCGGGUGGUGUUAGGGUGAGGACUGAUGAGGGACACGUGUGUGCGUGGACUUGUGGUGAUCCUAUGCUGUCAAGAAAAGCCUCGACGUGAGGGCAUGACGCGCCCGUACCCUAAACCGACUCAGGUGGUCAGGUAGAGUAUACCGAGGCGUUCGAGUGAAUCAUGGUUAAGGAACUCGGCAAAAUUCCUCCGUAACUUCGGGAUAAGGAGGACCCCGUGACUUCCCAACACCGUGCGUGUUGGUGGGGUUGUGGGGUCGCAGAGAAUAGGGAGAAGCGACUGUUUAUCAAAAACACAGGUGCGUGCGAAGCCGUAAGGCGAUGUAUACGCACUGACGCCUGCCCGGUGCUGGAAGGUUAAGAGGAACUGUUAACACCCCCUUGGGGUGUGAAGCGGUGAAUUUAAGCCCCAGUAAACGGCGGUGGUAACUAUAACCAUCCUAAGGUAGCGAAAUUCCUUGUCGGGUAAGUUCCGACCUGCACGAAUGGCGUAACGACUUCUCCGCUGUCUCGACCAUGAACUCGGUGAAAUUGCAGUACGAGUAAAGAUGCUCGUUUCGCGCAGAAGGACGGAAAGACCCCGGGACCUUUACUAUAGCUUGGUAUUGGUGUUCGCUUGGACUUGUGUAGGAUAGGUGGGAGACUGUGAAGCUGCCGCGCCAGCGGUGGUGGAGUCGUCGUUGAAAUACCAUUCUGGUUCAAGCGGUCACCUCAACCUUGGCCCGUGAUCCGGGUUGGGGACAGUGCCUGGUGGGUAGUUUAACUGGGGCGGUUGCCUCCUAAAAUGUAACGGAGGCGCUCAAAGGUUCCCUCAGCCUGGUUGGUAAUCAGGUGGCGAGUGCAAGUGUACAAGGGAGCUUGACUGUGAGACCGACGGGUCGAGCAGGUGCGAAAGCAGGAACUAGUGAUCCGGCCAUGGCACGUGGGUGCGUGGUCGCUCAACGGAUAAAAGGUACCCCGGGGAUAACAGGCUGAUCUUGCCCAAGAGUCCAUAUCGACGGCAUGGUUUGGCACCUCGAUGUCGGCUCGUCGCAUCCUGGGGCUGGAGUCGGUCCCAAGGGUUGGGCUGUUCGCCCAUUAAAGCGGUACGCGAGCUGGGUU
rnacentral:rRNA from 1 species